rnacentral:rRNA from 1 species
UACGUAGGUGGCGAGCGUUGUCCGGAAUUACUGGGCGUAAAGCGCGUGUAGGUGGUGGGACAAGUCUGCUGUGAAAGCGCCUGGCUUAACCGGGCGAGGUCGGCGGAAACUGUCCGACUAGAGGACGGUAGAGGGGGGUGGAAUUCCCGGUGUAGUGGUGAAAUGCGUAGAGAUCGGGAGGAACACCUGUGGCGAAGGCGGCCCCCUGGGCCGGCCCUGACACUGAGACGCGAAGGCGUGGGGAGCGAACGGG